UACAGAGGGGGCAAGCGUUGUUCGGAAUUACUGGGCGUAAAGGGCGCGUAGGCGGCCUGUUAAGUCGAACGUGAAAUCCCCGGGCUCAACCCGGGAACUGCGUCCGAGACUGGCGGGCUCGAAUUCGGGAGAGGGAUGCGGAAUUCCAGGUGUAGCGGUGAAAUGCGUAGAUAUCUGGAGGAACACCGGUGGCGAAGGCGGCAUCCUGGACUGUAACUGACACUGAGGAACGAAAGCCAGGGGAGCAAACGGG
rnacentral:rRNA from 1 species